CCCGGCCGGCUGGCCAGGCGUGGGCGCUGUCCGGACCCCGCCUGGAGGCUACCUGCCUCCCGAGCGCAGAGGCCCGGUGCCUCCCAGGCCUGGCUCCAGCGGGAGGCGGUUCCCACUGCUGUUUUCUUUCUCUUAUCUUCACUAACUGCACUCACCCUGUGCCUGGUCUCGAGCGUAAGGGCUUUAAGUGCUUUACGUGCACAAAUUCUUUCCUUUUCCAGCAACUCCGCUGGUUCUCCGCUGGUGAGGUGCUGAACCUGAUCCUGUUCCAGGGGCUCCCAGGCUACACCGUACUUGGAGAGUGUGCUGGAGGAGCACUGGGUUGGCUUGCCCUGGGCCUGCGCUUAGUGCUUCUCCCUCUCCUCUGGCUGGGAAGGAAGGCCGGGUGGGGGGCGGGGGCUGGGCAGCUUGGGGAGUGCCACCCCCUCUGUGAGCAAACAACUCCGUGCCAGCCGGUCGAUAGGGUGUGGGUCAAAGCUCGCACUGCCCCUGGCGUCCAGGUGUGGAGCUCUGUCCUUGGAUUUUCUCUGCCCAUGGGUUGGUCAGACCUAGAGGCGGGGCUGCCAUUGACCAUGAGCCAGCUGGGCCUCAGGCAGGAUUGGGCCUCCCCCACCUGUCUGAGGGUGGUGCCUGGUCAGGGACAGGUUUAACCUGCUUUGCCCCGCCCCUUCCCACCUGCUUGUCCCACUCCACCAGGUGUUUGCUCUGGCCCCACUCCAGACUCUUGGGAGUGUGUGUGAUGGGGGCUUGGGUGAUAAUGUGACUGCCCCCAUUUGGCCUGGAGAAGCUGACAGUGGACUGGGGGAGAAAAGGGACACAGGACCAGGCCCAAGGACUGUGGCCAACUCCUCCCCAGGCAGGGCAGAGCUGAACAUCUAGCUGAACCAGCUUGGUAGCCUGUGUCCUCCCUCCUCCUUCCUCUUGCCCGCCCAGCUCUGAGUCUGUGUCUGUCUCUCUCCCCACUCUCUGUCCCCAGUUCUCACAGCUGGUGAGCGGGGAUGUGGCUCUGCUGGGCGGGGGCCCCUACAUGCUAUGCACUGAUGGGCAGCAGCUGCUGCGACAGGUCCUGCACCCUGAGGCCUCCAGGAAGAGAGUUCCAUGUGCAGCACCCAAGAGCCCGCCCUGCCAGGGAGCUCACCGUGGCCACCAUGGCACAGGACUUGGGGCUAGAGACAGAUGCCACAGAGGAUGACUUUGGGGUCUGGGAAGUGAAGACAAUGGUAGCGGUCAUCCUCCACCUGCUCGAAGGGCCCAGUGGUCAAUUGUUUUCGAAGGCAGAGGUGGUAAAGCAGAAGUAUGAGACAGGUCCUUGCAGCAAGGCCGACGUGGUGGACAGUGAGACCGUGGUGCGGGCCCGCGGGUUGCCCUGGCAGUCAUCAGACCAGGAUGUGGCUCGAUUCUUCAAAGGGCUCAACAUUGCCAGGGGCGGCGUCGCACUCUGCCUCAACGCCCAGGGCCGCAGAAACGGCGAGGCCCUCAUCCGCUUUGUGGACAGCGAGCAGCGGGACCUAGCGCUGCAGAGACACAAGCACCACAUGGGUGUCCGCUAUAUUGAGGUGUAUAAAGCAACAGGAGAGGAGUUUGUCAAGAUCGCGGGGGGCACAUCACUAGAGGUGGCUCGUUUCCUGUCACGGGAAGACCAAGUGAUCCUGCGGCUACGGGGACUGCCCUUCUCAGCCGGGCCAGCGGACGUGCUGGGCUUUCUGGGGCCAGAGUGCCCGGUGACUGGGGGUGCUGAUGGGCUGCUCUUUGUGCGCCACCCUGACGGCCGGCCCACUGGUGAUGCCUUUGCCCUCUUUGCCUGUGAGGAGCUGGCACAGGCUGCCCUGCGCAGGCACAAGGGCAUACUGGGUAAGCGAUACAUUGAACUCUUCCGGAGCACUGCAGCUGAGGUGCAGCAGGUCCUGAACCGCUACGCAUCCAGCCCACUCCUUCCCGCACUCACGGCUCCACUGCUCCCCAUCCCCUUCCCACUGGCAGCUGGGACUGGGAGAGACUGUGUACGCCUUCGGGGCCUGCCCUACACCGCCACCAUCGAAGACAUCCUGAGCUUUCUGGGGGAGGCAGCGGCCGACAUCCGGCCCCACGGUGUGCACAUGGUGCUCAACCAGCAGGGCCGGCCAUCUGGCGAUGCUUUCAUCCAGAUGACGUCAGCAGAGCGGGCCCUAGCUGCUGCUCAGCGUUGCCAUAAGAAAGUGAUGAAGGAACGCUAUGUGGAAGUGGUCCCCUGCUCCACAGAGGAGAUGAGUCGCGUGCUAAUGGGGGGCACCUUGGGCCGCAGUGGCAUGUCCCCUCCACCCUGCAAGCUGCCUUGCCUCUCACCACCCACCUACGCCACCUUCCAGGCCACCCCAACACUCAUUCCCGCUGAGACGGCAGCUCUGUAUCCCUCUUCAGCACUGCUCCCGGCUGCCAGGGUGCCUGCUGCCCCCACCCCUGUUGCCUACUACCCAGGGCCAGCCACUCAACUCUACAUGAACUAUACUGCUUACUACCCCAGCCCCCCAGUGUCCCCCACCACAGUGGGCUACCUCACCACACCUCCUGCUGCCCUGGCCUCUGCUUCCACCUCAGUGUUGUCCCAGCCAGGAGCCCUGGUCCGUAUGCAGGGUGUCCCAUAUACAGCCGGUAUGAAGGAUCUGCUCAGCGUUUUCCAAGCCUAUCAGUUAGCCCCUGAUGACUACACCAGUUUGGUGCCUGUUGGUGACCCGCCUCGCACUGUGCUACAGGCCCCCAAAGAGUGGGUGUGUUUGUAGGUGAGGGAGCCAGGAGGUAAGAGCUGGCUGAUGUCUAACAUGUCUCUCUUGCGUCCAGAGAAUCAGUAUCCUCAAUCAGGUGGCUUCUGGCUUGUCAAAGCUCUCAGAAAGCACCUAGAGGAGCUCAAGCCCCAGGUCCAUCUCCCACUUGUUGCUGUCUGUUCACCCCAAAGAUGAUGGCUGGACCCCUGCAUGCAGGGCUGGGGGUGGAAUGGUGUUACCCUGCUCCCAAUGGCCUGAUCUAGGCCUCCUGAGUAGCAGCAAGAGAGCCUUUGGUUGGUUUUGGCUGUGGGGCUGAUGUCCACAGCAGGCUUGGUUUUCUUUUUAAAAUGUAAGCCCUGGUGCCUUCAGUGUAUGACUCCUGGGAGCUUCUGAGUAAAGAUCCCAACGUUCUACCUUCCCCUGUCCCUUCUGGUAGGGGGCAGGGAGACAGAGAAUGCUGGCCCCGGCCCCCAGGAGGAUACUUGGACCUUAGUGGCCACAUUGUGCCAUGGGUCUGAGGAUGCUAACUCUCCGCUUGGCACAAGGAAUAUCAGGUGGCAAAAUCACAGUUGGUUUUGAUGGACUGUACUGCAGUAUCCCCAGAGGACACUAGAGGGCAGGAAGCCCUCACACAAAAACUCAGACUUGAAUUUUAAAGGGGACUUUCUGCCUACUUUUCAUGCACACCUUGGGCGGGCCAGUGGUCUUGAACUCAGCAGACUUCGUGGAAUGCCCUUUGCACCCAUUAAGAGGGUACAUAAUUGAAGCUUUGGAAAGAAUUUGGAAUUCUGCUUACUUCUCCGUAAAAUAAAGGUUCCUAACCAGGUGGAUUUUUUAAAAGCCAAAGUGCCCUUAGCUUUGGAUCCCAGAGUGUGGGGCUCCACCCUUGCCCCAGGCAGAGGAAAACUCAGGCAGAUUUCAAGGACACUGUUAACCUGUCAUCAUUUAUUAUUUCAGCACUGUAACUGAGGAACCUGAAUUGCUGACUCUUCCCUUUGUUAUUUGUGUAAGGAGCACUAUACUCCUAGAAAAGGUUUUAAAAUACAAAAUGUCUAAGAAAACACAAUUCCAAGUGCUGUAAACAUAACUCAGAACCAAUUCCUUAACUGAACAUCACCCAUUUUAAAAAACAUAAGGUUUCAGCUUGAGCCCAUCUGAGUGUUAAAGAUAACCAUCUGUACUGAAUAUUAAAAACAGGGCUUCAAGGCCAGAGGGCGCCUGGUUGGCACAGUCGAUUGAGCCUACACUUGGUUUCAGCUCAGGUGGUGAUCUUGUGGGGCUCUCUUUGCCCCUCCCCCUGUAAAAUAAGUAAGUCCUCAAACAAAUAAGAACCACCACCCCAGGGCUUCACUGCCAGAUCCAGCAGAGCUCUAUAAUGGUUAGCCUCGGGCAGGGGUGGGUUGCACAGGCAGCAGCACCAAACGUAAACCCGAAGACAAGACAUCUGGUCCCUUUCAAGAUGUUUUCAGCCAUGUUUCUCUGAGAAUCUCUAGUAAGCAAAAGGCUGCUUAUCUCAUUCCUCAACCCAGAAUCAGCACAGGUUGGUUGGGGUAGGGGUAGGGGCCAGGGCAUGCUGAGUUGCUCAAUGUUGCUACUAGAAGUCAGUUUACACAAUCCAAUGGAUAUGUGCUUUAACACCACUUCUGUUGCACAAAGUUUAAAGUCUUUACUUACCUACAAAGCCAAAGAAUAUUGAUUCUUAAACCAAAGAUUUUACAAAAUGAUAUAAGACUGCCCACAUAGUAUACAAAGCUCUAUUUUAAAAUUUAACUUUUAUUUUAAAUAGGAAAGCAUUUCUAGUGCUACAGGCAUCAAGGUAUUUAAAAGGCAUCGAAAUUUGGUGCAUAGCAACUCUGGAUCAUAGAGGCUUUUAUUCCUGAAGGCAGCAAAGCAACCCCCAAAGGGUCUUGCAAAAACCCAUGUGAGGCAGCUACCCCAGGGGCAAGAGGGUAGAGGCAAGUCCGGCCAGCUGUCUGGAGCUUCCUGUCAGGGGCCGCCUCUCACAACCCCUCCAAAGGCAGCUGUAGGCUACCAACUACAGGCCCUGAAGCAAAUCUCACUAUCCACACUCUGACACAAAACUUAAAGAAAAUAUGAAAACACCCAGCUCCAAGAGGGACUAGAGUGAUUUGUUGAAGGAUAUACAUUUUUCUCUAACUAGUUUUAGGGGGAAAAUUAAAUCAUCAUGGUUUGAAGAGGGCAUAAAAAUAAAAAGACCAUACUUCAUCCCGUAGGAGGUGAACAUUUCUACCUGGCUGACUAGAGGUGGUGGCCAGUGACCCGGCUCCCUCUGCCCAGGCCUCAGCUGACCUCAAUAGAGUCCUGGUAUCUAGGACUCAUUAUCCCCUGGAGUAACAUCAAGCCUUUGACCAGCUCAGCACACUGUCGCACAUAUAGGCACUCAAAAGAAUUUCCUUCCUGAAUAAAUGAAAUUACAUGAUUUUGUGUGCAAGCAUUCUACAAACUUCAGGUGCUUUGAAAUGGCCCCAGCCUUGGAAUAGGUACUAAUCCCAUUAAUGGGAUGGGUAAGGGCAGAGUUUGGAAAAAGCACCCAACUCGGGCACCUCCUUUGGUAGACAGCAGGCUGGAGUUUCUUACUGGCCCCUGCGUUGGGCACCAGCCUCACCAGCAGCAGCACCAGGGCAUCUUUGGUGUGGAGGGUUAGGUCUAUGAUGCUACCUCAUGUUUGGGUUUGCCUCAAAGCCUUUUGGGGAAAAGGCUUGGUUUUAGGCCAUGCAGAAGGGACAAGGUAGGCCAGAAACAUUUUAGGCUGUAAACAGAAUGAGGGAUAAGCCUUUCAUGCCACUGUGAACCUUAAAAGCUUCCCAUCUGGAGUCCUGUAUUUUCUCUGCUCCUUUUUUUUUUUUUCCUGCUCCUCUUUUGAAGCAUAGCUUAUUUGUGCUUAGCUUCUGACACAGCCUGGCCUCUAGAGAUGAGCUAGAACCAGCAAAUUUGCCUAAACCGUCAUAAGGCUAUGGCUUCAAAGGAUAUAGAGCAGCCAAAUGCAGAUAAACUACCAUUCGGAAAAGGUCUGGGACCAGAGGACACAAGAAAAGCACUCCACAGCGUACUUGUUUGCAGGAUGGCAGGAUAUUAAAGCUAUCAAGCUAAAAAACCCACCUUUCAAAGUCACCUUAUGUGUCGCUAUCUUAUCCAAGGCCCUGAGGGAAAAAAGCAAUUUCAACAUGGAGUCAUUAUGGAGAGACUGCAGGAAGAUUACCUAAAAAGUUAUAAAAAGGCUAUGCUCUGGAAUGUCGUUUUAUAUUCCAACACUUCAAUGAUUGGAAUGGUCUCCUCACGUUAACAGUUUACUUUUAUAAGAGUGAUCCCAACUCCUGGCGCCAGUCCUGAAGGCCACAGAAUUGGAAACCCAAGGUCCAAGGAGAGAAACAUGCUGAGAAGUCCAUGGUGGUGGACACAUGGCUGCAGCGAGCACUGUUAGAGCCCAUCGGAUCUUCCUCUAUCCAGGGAAUUGGGACCUGGGAGGGGAGCCUCCCUGCUCGCCCCUGUUCCUUGGGAAACAGAAAUCUGGGACAUGUCUCUCCCAAUUAUCUCGUUCACUGAAAAACAAGAAAAGGGAAAAUGAUUAGUGACCUGUGUGUGACUGACCAUAGGAUGCUCAAAGGCAAGUUCCAUUUCAAACACAUUUUUUCGCUUUCUGAAGUUUUCUAUAAAGGUAAAUGCAGUGCUUAAAGCCUACUCCUAAACUGAAUGGAGACCUAAGUCCAGAAGUUAUUCCAGCCCCUGCUUUUCCCUUUCAGUUCAGUUUGGGUUGGGAAGGGAGAUGGCUCAGGGAACAGGAAACAUUCUUACCCUCACUCUAAAAAGCUCAUGCUUGGGAUCCCUGGGUGGCGCAGCGGUUUGGCGCCUGCCUUUGGCCCAGGGCGCGAUCCUAGAGACCCGGGAUCGAAUCCCACGUUGGGCUCCCGGUGCAUGGAGCCUGCUUCUCCCUCUGCCUAUGUCUAUCUCUCAAUCUCUCUCAAUCUCUCUCUCUCUCUCUCUCUCUGUGACUAUCAUAAAUAAAGAUCUUAAUAAAAUAAAAUAAAAUAAAAAGCUCUAGAACUGAAGAUAGCAUACUUCUUAAAUGUGUUUACCUUAAUCUAACUUUUCCUUAAUUUGCAUCCCUUUAGGAGGGUCUUCCCCUUCUGAUUCCUGGAGAGUACUUUGUAUGUAAAGUGAGUGAAAAUAAAUGCUUUGGUGAGAAUAAAA